AUGACGUCCUCCGAACCCGAUCCCCACGACGCCAACAGAACCCUCGCGUGGCGAAUACCUCAUCGGAGGACCUCCGGCCUGGAUCGGUGGGAACCGAGGGGCUCCGCCCCGCCAAUCCCGGCGGGGGCUUACCUCGACAGCGUCUGCGCGGACCUGCUCGACGUGGGAUUGCCGUCGGACAUGGGCCAUGAUCUGCUGGAGGAGGAGAAGACGGAGUCCUGCGUCAAGAAUGGCGAUUCACAUCCGUGUCCAAUUGGGCGUGACGACGUCUGUCUAGACGACAUGUUCCAUGAUAUCUUCGGGGACUGGCCGCUCACGGGCGAUCCAAUUCUGUGGGAUGACAUCCGCUCAGAGAACAGCGACGAUUACGUUGUCCCGGAGUCCGAUGAAUGCGAUAGGUUUGCAGACGUGAGAACAAAUUGCCCAGGGAGAAACAUUCCCAGGCAGCAAGCAAAGAAAAUAGACAACGCAUGGCUAAGGAGCAUCGCGGAACAGAACGAAAAAUACGACGCGCGGUGCCAGGAGAUUCUGCGCCAGAACGAGGAUGCCGAUCUCCCUCCUGUUCCACUAGAUGUGUUCCCUGAGGCAACAGGUUUAUGCGUGGAAAGGGGUUCCUACUACCACAUUGAAUACAUGACCCAUGACACUUCCACCACUAAUUCGGAUCUCGGAUAUAGCGGACCGGAACUGAUGCUACAGAUAUUUUCUCUGCGUUUAUCAAGCUUCUCUGCAUCCUAUUCUUGCCCCAUCAGUGUGUAUGGAGUAUUCGCUGUUCGGGAUGUACUGGAGCCUCUGCGGAACCAUGUCUUCAACCGUUCCAGAGAUGAUCCUGUCACUGUUGACCAGGAUCCUUUUACCUUGCCACUCUGUAGCCCUUGUCGAGGAAUGUACAUACCAUAUGACCAAGUAUUGCUAGAAGUUGAUCUCUGGAUAAAAAAGGAAGGGGAUGGGUCAGCCGACCAAAAAUUACUUUCCAAAUACCUUGAGCUCGAUGUCCGAACAGAAGGCGACGGGUUUAUAUAUGGUUGUAUCCCUGGGGACACUGUCAGCUUGGAAAUAGACUGUGCGUACCUCACAAAGAGUGUUGAGGCAGUGAUCGAGGUCUCUGCAGAGGUUAGCCGUCCUUGCCAUGUGAGAUUCGUCGCUUUCAGCAGUGGCUAUGACGAUGAGAUUGUGCUCUUCAACGGAAAAUUCACUGGGGAGAAGGUUUUCAAGCACGUUGUUGCUGUGAAGGCAGAGAGAGAACUGAAGGUUCAGUUAGAGGUGGAGGAAUCAGUUUUCCAGUGGACUUUUCAGGGUGGAAAUGCCGGACCUCUUAGCUCCCCCGAUGACUCGACGUUGAAGUAUGGCCAGUUUGAUGUGGGGGUGUGUUUUUAUCCAUCGACGGGCUAA
rnacentral:rRNA from 1 species